GAAGUCCUGUAUAGCCUAUUCAUUUCUUGGAGAUUUAAAAUAUGUAUUAGACUAUUAUAAUUUCUGAGAGGUUCUGAAUAAAAGAAGCUUACUCUUAAAAUCUAGGGAAAAAGGUAUAUAAAACUCUCUGAAUACUUAGAAUCUCUUAAGAUAAUUUAAUCUUUUGUCUGUUAACUAUAUGUCGUCUCAUUUCUAAUUUUGUUUUCUCAUCUUUUAUAUUACAGAAUUCUGUUUUAUUGUCUGAUUCAUUAGAGAAGAAACUCCUAAAUGUAACAAUAACAUAUUUGGUUCUCCACAUUAAUUCUUGACUUUAUAAAAUAUUAUAUUCUUCUUUG
rnacentral:lncRNA from 1 species